UUUUGAACAGAGACCUCAACGAGCCGAACACAUCGAUCAUUUUCAGCAUCAGAGGCAUCUUUGUACGUCGUAUUGUACGGCGAACUGCUUUCGAGAUCACGGAAGUAUCUUCCUCGAGAAGACAGUCGCUCUCUUCUCCGUUUAGCUGAUCCGUUUUUACGGACGGUUAUUGAGUGACGUGAUAAAAAUGGAGAUCGUUGGAUGGAGAAUUGGUCGAUUUGAAAUUGACUAGAAGAAGAGGAUGAAACGACUAUUCGGACACGGUGAGACACACGUGGGGCGCGGAAGCAAGCCGUUAGAAGACUGGCCGAACUUGAGAGGCAUCCCUUGGCCUCGAUGCUAAACACAUAACUUAUAUGAUCUUCUCUUGUCAUGACAAUGAAAUGUACGUAUUCGUGUUAUUUAUAUAUACCGUGUUUUAAUUAUAAAAAAGUUUUUAUU